CAAAACUGAGAUAUCCUGAUCCUUCAAGUUCUUGGUUGAGGGAGAGGUUGAAAGAUCAGAAGAAAAUUCACAUUGCUGUCACACCUGGCAUUCUGCAUAGGAAAAGCAUAAAUCAUCUCAGAUCCUUUCAAGAACUAGGAGAUGGAAAAAAAGGCACAAACUGC
rnacentral:lncRNA from 12 species